rnacentral:rRNA from 1 species
AUACGGAGGGUGCGAGCGUUAAUCGGAAUUACUGGGCGUAAAGCGUACGUAGGCGGUUGGUUAAGUUAGAUGUGAAAGCCCCGGGCUUAACCUGGGAACUGCAUUUAAAACUGGCGAACUAGAGUUGAGUAGAGGGGAGUGGAAUUUCAGGUGUAGCGGUGAAAUGCGUAGAGAUCUGAAGGAACACCAGUGGCGAAGGCGACUCCCUGGACUCGAACUGACGCUGAGGUACGAAAGCGUGGGUAGCAAACGGGAUUAGAAACCCGGGUAGUCC